CCAAGGCUGCCACCUGUGGCCUGCGGAGCUCUAAGGUCCUCUGGCUGCUGCUGGGAUUUGGACAAAAGGAGGCAGGAGAGGGCGUGGAGGAAUUUACAUCCUGGGCUGCCUUCCUUCUCGGCCAUGGCCAAGUUCUGCUGAGAGCCACAGCUCCUGUCAGGAAGACAGAUCCAGGCGGGGAGGCCAGCAGUUUACAAAGUCGUCUUUAUUGAUUUCUUACUGCUUCACAGAGCGUCCGAGUCGGUCCCUCCCGGGAAUAUGGCAUUUGAGAAGAUAAAUACUUAUUUUGCCCCCUACUUGUCAGUAGAGGGAGAUUUAAUAAAAAUAGUAAUAUAAUAAUAAUAAUGACUGUGAUCAAUAAUAAAAUGCCUCCUAUGAUCCCCUAAUAUGGUUGGUUGAAGCUUUAAGAAAAAGGACCUCCCCCCUUUCUGGGAGGGGCCAGAGUGUGCCUGGAGACCCUCCAGUGGCCCCCAACGGGUGCCCAUCUCCCAGCUAGUAGCCCUUAUAAAUACCCUCCCCAUCCCAUCCCUGUCUAGGAAUUAUUUCCCCCCUGGGCGGAUUAGAUGACAAUGUCAGUUGGCUCAUGGAGUCCCUCUCUGCUCCCACCCCACGAAGCUCCUCCCUCUGUGGGCGUGCGUUCUUCCAGCUGUCUCUCCCCUCCACCCCUCUCCCCUUGUCUCUCCUUUUCGUCCCCUGUCUCUCGUCCUCUUCACCACUCCUCCUGUAUCCUCUCCUUCUCCUCUGGAUGGCCCUCACCUCCUCCAGUCACUAUCGUCUCCUCCUCUACUUCCUCCCGCCUCUUUCACCUACAUUCUUCUCUCCUUCUCUAUCCUCCUUUUCUCUGGAUCAGAGCCUGUCUUUCCCACCCUGACCCUGAGCA